rnacentral:lncRNA from 1 species
UGGCUGCCCCAUCCCUGGAGGGGUUCAAUCCCCUGGCGGGGGGAUUGGAACUUGAUGAUCUUUAAGGUCCCUUCCAACUCUAACCAUUCUGUGAUUCUAUGAUUAUGUAUUUACAGCAAGACAUGACCAUAAGAGGGGUUUUAUAACCAGCUGGUUAACAAGUGCUCCUUCCCAGCAUGGCUGCUUCCAGAAAUCUCCAGGUUUCGACCUGCUGGCUAUUUCAAGUUUUUUGUUGUCCUUUGAAGAAAAAAAGAGAAAACGUCCCAGGCUGAAAAUAGCCAUGAAACAUUCCCCAACUGGCCAACCUGUUCUUCAAGAAAACUUCCCAGGGAACGUAAAGCUCUAGCUGCAGCCCUGAAAAUGCCAGCUAAGAAAUGGCACGUAGGGUGAUGAUUGAGGUGAAAAAAACCUAGUUUGGGUGACAACAGCCCCUGCCUGACUAUUGGUCGUCUCUUAUCUUAUGGUGAAGGUGACCACCUGAGGAAGGAAAGAAGGUAGGUAGGUUGGUUCUCA